rnacentral:rRNA from 1 species
AGAGUUUGAUCAUGGCUCAGGAUGAACGCUGGCGGCGUGCAUAACACAUUCAAGUCGAACGAAGCACUGAUGAGGAGGCCUUCGGGCGGAAUUGUCUUUGACUUAGUGGCGGACGGGUGAGUAACGCGUGAGCAACCUACCUGCGUGUGAGGGAUAACACAGGGAAACUUGUGCUAAUACCGCAUGAAGCGUCGAUGUCGCAUGGCAAUGACGCGAAAGAUAUAUUGCAAGCAGAUGGGCUCGCGUCUGAUUAGAUAGUUGGCAGGGCAACGGCCUACCAAGUCGACGAUCAGUAGCCGGACUGAGAGGUUGAACGGCCACAUUGGGACUGAGACACGGCCCAGACUCCUACGGGAGGCAGCAGUGGGGGAUAUUGCACAAUGGGCGAAAGCCUGAUGCAGCAACGCCGCGUGAGGGAAGACGGUUUUCGGAUUGUAAACCUCUGUCUUUGGUGAAGAAGGAAGUGACGGUAGCCAAGGAGGAAGCCACGGCUAACUACGUGCCAGCAGCCGCGGUAAUACGUAGGUGGCAAGCGUUGUCCGGAAUUACUGGGCGUAAAGGGAGCGCAGGCGGGACAGCAAGUUGGAUGUGAAAUACCGCAGCUCAACUGCGGAGCUGCAUCCAAAACUGUUGUUCUUGAGUGGAGUAGAGGUAGGCGGAAUUCCGAGUGUAGCGGUGAAAUGCGUAGAUAUUCGGAGGAACACCAGUGGCGAAGGGCGGCUUACUGGGCUUUUACUGACGCUGAGGCUCGAAAGCGUGGGGAGCAAACAGGAUUAGAUACCCUGGUAGUGCACGCUGUAAACGAUGAUUACUAGGUGUGGGGGGACUGACCCCUUCCGUGCCGCAGUUAACACAAUAAGUAAUCCACCUGGGGAGUACGGCCGCAAGGUUGAAACUCAAAGGAAUUGACGGGGGCCCGCACAAGCAGUGGAGUAUGUGGUUUAAUUCGAAGCAACGCGAAGAACCUUACCAGGUCUUGACAUCGUAUGCAUAGUCUAGAGAUAGAUGAAAUCCCUUCGGGGACAUAUAGACAGGUGGUGCAUGGUUGUCGUCAGCUCGUGUCGUGAGAUGUUGGGUUAAGUCCCGCAACGAGCGCAACCCUUGCCUUUAGUAGCUAGCAGUUCGGCUGAGCACUCUAGAGGGACUGCCAGGGAUAACCUGGAGGAAGGUGGGGAUGACGUCAAAUCAUCAUGCCCCUUAUGAUUUGGGCUACACACGUGCUACAAUGGCGUAAACAAAGAGAAGCGAAAUGGUGACAUUAAGCAAAUCUCAAAAAUAACGUCUCAGUUCGGAUUGUAGUCUGCAACUCGACUACAUGAAGCUGGAAUCGCUAGUAAUCGCGAAUCAGCAUGUCGCGGUGAAUACGUUCCCGGGUCUUGUACACACCGCCCGUCACACCAUGGGAGUCGGUAAUGCCCGAAGUCUGUGACUCAACCGUAAGGAGAGAGCAGCCGAAGGCAGGACUGAUAACUGGGGUGAAGUCGUAACAAGGUAGCCGUAUCGGAAGGUGCGGCUGGAACACCUCCUU